rnacentral:lncRNA from 1 species
UUCUACUGGAGGCCUCGGUCCUCCUCGACCCACGGAAUAACUAGGCCCUGCUGGGUGGGACAUCAGACCCCAAAGAACAUGAAUGGCCUGGAAGUUUCUGCUGGAUUGUCCCACUGCUGCUGAUUCAUGUUCAUUAUCCUACCACUACUGAACUGGACUGCUGGUAUCCUAACAGAGAUUGGAGAUGUCUUAAGGAACUACUUCUAAACAGGCUUCCCUGAGCUCUGCCUAGUGUUUGACUCUGGCUCUCUGCAUCUGCUUCUGAAGUCCAGAUUCUGAGCUAACAAGCCUGGUCCUGGUCCUCCAGGCAGCGUCAGAGUGCUGUCAUCU